rnacentral:lncRNA from 1 species
CAGGCAGCGCCGGACGCGGACCCCACGCGCGUCUACCGGGACAAGUGGAAGCUAGGCCAGCGGGCGAAAGUUAUAAGCGUCUCCUGUUUCGCGCGGUUUCUUCAGUCUCAGUCCUUGGAAGUCCCGCCCACAGACAUGGUAGAGACCUAAGCUGCAGUCCUCCGCCAGCUCCGCCCAUCCAGCCCAUGGGCAGCCUGAGAUCCUCCCAGCUAAAAGAAGAAAAAACUGAAGCCGAAUGCAGUGGGCGUCAGGAGCGGGACUCGAACCCUUGUCUUUGAGCCCGGAACUCGAUGCUCUUCCCGGCUGCGCAGUCCUGACCUUGGCGGCUCCUUUUCUUGUUGCCUGCAGGAGAGCGCGGUGGCCGCGAUGGCGGCGGACGUCGAGGGGGACGUGUACGUGC